ACGUCGGUGGUUCAGUAGUAGAACACUGGCCGACCAAGCAAGUGGUCCUAGGUCCGAUUCCCAGCCGGCGUA
rnacentral:tRNA from 1 species